CGCACGUCAACAACAAAGCAACCCUGCAUCAAUCAGACAGUAGCAACUGUCACCGCAAUACACACGCAUACCACCCGUCGUCGAAGAAAAUCUCGUUUGACGUGAGGAAGUAGCAACGGUGUCAGUUAGAAAAAGCAGACCGCGGAAGAGGCACUUUUUCGCCAAGAGGUUAGUGCGGAAAGUUUAAACGGCCGGAAGACAACCCGGAGUGGUUCGCUGUCGUGUCCAGUGAAGGGGACAGAUCAGGCCAACAACGAACGAUUGCGCGCGACUCGGUAAGCGUUGGCGAAAUACUGGUGACGGGCCAUCGAAGUCAGAAAGCCGCUCGAACGGUACGACAUUGCCACGUGGGGGAGUUAACCUCAAAACGACGGUUCGCCGGCGACGCAACCGGUGGAGAUUGGCGAACAAGGACCGAUAAACUGAUAAGGACUGAGGAUUAGCGAUCAACUAUUUGCUCAAGCGGCAUAAAAACGAUUCACACAGAUCGUCGGCAACAAGUGCAAAAGGUUGCGCGAACGCACCGCACGGAAAAGGCCUUCCAAAGGAAGGCCUUUAUUUUCAGGUCUGAAUCAGAGCGUACGGACAGCAAGCGGGUUCGGUCAGCAAUCUACGAGGAAAGACGGCAGUACAGAACGAAUCGAUCGGCUCUGAGUCUUCGACGACGACUAUACGUCACACCAGCACGGAGGAUAAGUUAUCCACGGGAGCAUGACGGCACGGCCCAUUGGUGUGAACUGCAGUAGGCAUCUCCGGGAAAAAACGGCGUGGCGGACAUGGUAGGGGUGCACCCACAGCAAGCGUGAGUAAGAAGAAAAGAGAAUAGGUAGAAUAAGUAGAUAGAGGAGAAGAGAGAACAGAAGGAGUAAUGAGUAAAAUAAAAAGCAGAUAAAGCAGGGCAAUGGAAGGAGAAUAAAGUUUGUGUCGAUGAAAA